rnacentral:tRNA from 2 species
GGGCGUUAGCUCAGCGGUAGAGCAGUUGGCUUUUAACCAAUUGGUCGAUGGUUCGAAUCCAUCACGCCC